CUCUCUCUCUCAAAAGUAAAUAAACAUUAAAAAACAACAACAACAAAGAACAGCCUUCCUUCCUGAUCAACACCCUGAAAUCCCCAUUAACCUAUAUUAUUUGUGAUUUUGUAAGAGAAAUCAACUUCAGGUAGCUUACAAGAAAGGAAUUCAUCCCAUGAACUCAGCAGUACCUCAUGGAACCCGAGGCCAGAAGGCAGCCGGACUCCUGGAAAGCACCGGAGUGGAAAGCUGCCCAGAAGCCUGGAAGAUGGGUACGUGUCUCAUAAAAAGAAGACAAGGGAAAGGAUCACAUGAAACUGUUUCUGGGAGACAUGUGGAACAGCACUGCUGGGCAAUGUUUAUAAAGUGUGACCAGGAAGAUCAGCACCCCGCGUGGGCUUAGAAUUUAAAAUACGUAGACGUCAAAAUCGGAAGAGGUGAAGUAAAGCUGUCUUCAGCCAUGCAAAAGCGGGAGGAACUCGCACCAGCAGCCUGUCCCCACAUGACAUGUUAAAGGAAACCCGUCAAGCAGAGGGAGAAUGGCCCGAAAUGGAAGUCGGGAUCUGUGCAAUUCAGUGAAGGGCGAUCGCGUGGGUGCAUAUUACUAAUUUUGUCUCACUACUUAAAGCUCCUUAGGGCGCCUGGGUGGCUCAGUCGGU